GGGUCAUUAGGUUGGUCGUGCCACCGGUACGUACUGGUCUAACUGAUUCCUCCUUCCUGAAGAACCGUAAUGCCAUUAAUUUGGUGUUGCGGGGAAACAGGACUGUUACUUUGAAAAAAUUAGAGUGUUUAAAGCAAGCUAACGCUUGAAUACAUUAGCAUGGAAUAAUGAAAUAGGACGAUCGAUCCUAUUUUGUUGGUUUCUAGGAUUGACGUA
rnacentral:rRNA from 1 species